rnacentral:rRNA from 1 species
CCUACGUGCGGCAGCAGUGAGGAAUAUUGGUCAAUGGACGAGAGUCUGAACCAGCCAAGUAGCGUGAAGGAUGACUGCCCUAUGGGUUGUACACCUCUUUUAUCAAGGAAUAAAACGAGGCACGUGUGCCUUUUUGCGUGUACCUUAUGAAUAAGCAUCGGCUAACUCCGUGCCAGCAGCCGCGGUAAUACGGCGGGUUCGAGCGGUAUCCGGAUUUAUUGGGUUUAAAGGGAGCGGAGGGGGGUUGUUAAGUCAGUUGUGAAAGUGUGCGGGUCAACCGUAAAGUUGCAGUUGAUACUGGGAGUCUUGAGUGGGAGUGAGGUAGGCGGAAUGCGUGGGGUAGCGGUGAAAUGCAUAGAGAUCACGAAGAACCCCGAUUGCGAAGGCAGCAUAC